GGAAUAUAGUUAGUUAGUUAGAGAAAAAUUUGGUUUUUCGUUAGGUACUA
rnacentral:tRNA from 1 species